CAACUCAAUGUCAUAUUUGGAGUUACUGACAUGAAUAGAAGCAUAUACAAGCAAUCUAUCAAAUGUAUUUUAUAAAGCCCCUUUUACAUCAGCAGUUGUCACAACGUGCUUAUACAGAUUCCCAGCCUAAAACCCCAAAGAGCAAGUAGUGCAGAUGUAGAAGCACAGUGGCUAGGAAAAACUCCCCAGAAAGGCAGGAACCGAGAGGCACCAGGCGCUGAGGGGUGGCCAGUCCCCUUCUGGCUGUGCUGGUGGAGAUUAUAAACGAGUACAGCCAUUUAGCCAGAUUAUUCUUCAAGACGUUUAAAUGUUCAUAGAUGAGCAGCAGUGUCAAAUAAGAGGUUUAUAGAGGGUGCAAUAGUUCAGCACCUCAGGAGUAAACGUCAGUUGCCUCUUCAUAGCUGAGCAUUUAGAGGUUGAGACAGUAGGUCUGGUAGAGAGAGACAGGAUCAAACAGCGGGUUUGGGACAAGUUAGUACCUCUGGUGAGCCUUGAGCAGGUCAGGAUUCCAUAUCUGCAGAUAGAAACAGCAGAGACUGGAUCAGCAGCACGACUAGGUGGACUGAAGACAGGGAAAGCCAGGAGUCGUCAGGCCAGAUCUGUCAACUUGCUCGGUGGGUGACAGGUAACCGUCCUUCCACCAAGCUGUUCCAGGCCUGGGCUGGCAGGCUGGAACUUCCAGAGGCGUGUAGACCUGAAGCAGUGUGAUGUGGUCCAGAUCUGACACCCCUAUUAGCUCAACCAGUCUUCACAGCUGCAUUCGUCUGCCCCUGCAUUUGCUACACCGGCCACGACAGGUGAUACAGAUCUACCACCCCCAGCAGUUCAGCUGCAGUCAACUGCUGUGGUAUUUAAUUUACCAGCUGCACCAGUUCCUACUACACUGGCCAUGAAGGGAGAAACUUUUGAGGAUACCCAGAUGGAUACAGAUCUUCCAUGCCUGACAGCCUCACCCAGAAGUGCAUACACUGGGCCUAGCAAGACUGACAAAGCAAAAUAAAACAUGCACUCACACACAUUAUCCACAAUGUAAACAAGUUGUAAUUACAUGUUUAUUUAAUGUUUUCUCCAUUUUAUUUUAGGAUUGGAGAUAUCUACUCCUUCAUAGCCAUUCUCAAUAUCUACAUAAGUACUCUAAAUAUCUAUCAAAUCAAAGUGUGAUUGAUAAUAUUGUAAAAGACUAUGGCUUAAUGUUUACAGUUUGAGGAAAUUCUGUGUGUUGAAAAACAUGUCUUACUCUCACACACAAGACCCAAUGUAAACAAGUUAUUACAAUUUAUAUACUACAUUUUAUUUGAGGAAAAUAUCUGAAAUAAAGUACAUUCACUGUUAAA